rnacentral:lncRNA from 1 species
CCCCUUUUGUAUAUGAUAUAAGUGAUAUGCAUUUCUAACUGGUAAACCAUAAGUGAUAGAGACCUAGGGUCUUUUGAUUUAAGAUCCUUGGUCCAAAAAAAAAAAAAAUUAGGUCAAGGUCAAAGGUCAAGGUCAAAUUCUAAAUUUUGAUUUUGGCUUAUUUUCACUUAUUUUCAUUAACCUUAUAAGAUAUCGACAAAUUAUUUUUACUAAAUUGUUAGUUGCGACAUGUCGUAACUUAUAAAUUUUGGUUGCAAGGGUGCGUAGACAAUAAACGGGAGUUUUCGCCCCUCUUAUAUUAACAAUUAUGCGUAAAGUGAUAUUACUCAUGAACCAUACAUAUUAAGGAACUAGUGUCUUUUGAUUUGAGAUGUUUAGUCUAUGACCUUGAAAUUGAGGUCAAGGUCAUAGGUUAAUUGGACGUUCUAGAUUUUGACCUUUGCUCGAAAUUCAUAUAUAUAUACAUCAUAAAGCCAUAGGAACUGACAUUUUCAACUGAAUUUUAAUAUUUUCAUUUCAAAAUAGAGCC